ACAGAUGUACCUGUCAAGCUGCCUCCGGCGGCGACCAUACAUACCCCCUACCUUCUUGAAGUUUGCCCAGCUGUGUGCAGUUUAAACACAUGGCACAUUUAGCGUCAGCAGUGGAAGAGGAGCGUCUUAAACAAGCUGAAAAGUGUGUUUUAUUCAGUUGUCUUUCCCACAACUUGAAGUCUUAAGAUUGGGCUAAUUGGUGACUCUAAACUGACCCAGUAUGGACCUACAUGGGGUUUCAGUGUUGUUUCCUGUCUUAAUUGAACAAAAUGGCUUCAGAAAAAAAAAAAAUCUGCUGUAAAGUACACAAGCCUAAGUUUCCCAUGCUGAAGAGUGUGAUGCUUUGGAAACUGGAACUUUCCUUCUGGUUCUCCUUCCUGAUAAAGUUGGCAACCACCCCAGAGAACCUAAAAGAUACUGCUCCCCACAUAGAGAAGACAUACGUCAACCAAGAAAGACCCAACCCACCAUAGCAUUUUUAUUCCUCUGCCCUCUUGCAGGUGGUUUAGAGCUCUACAUGCCUGCACUACCAGAUUGAAGAAGAGCUUUCAUGUCAAAGUCUAUUAAAUGCACAGUGAUCACUGCCCCUUUCUAGAACUAAAACCAUCACUGAUUAAACUGAACUUCUGCAUCCACCACACACAGUCACACACUUAUACAUGACCCAAGUGGAACUCAUGACCAUUACCUUGACUGUAAUCUUCUCUUGGACUUCAUUUAUUUUUAUCCAUUUUACAUAUUUACCUUUGCUUUUGCUCUAUGUAUAUUUGGAACUGUUAAUGGUAAUUGUGCUUCUCAUAGUUUAAUGUUUAUUUAGUUUAUCACCUACUCUUAUAGUAUAUACAUUUAUCUAAGGCAUCUUAUAGGUUUGCUCCAAAUGAAAUUUCAUUGUAUUGUACAGUGACAAUAAAAGUAUCUUGAAGA